GUGACUUUUUCUAGCUUAUGUCGGCAAAUAGAGUUACACGUAACCAGUUCCCUAUGUAUUCCAUAACCACGACAUACGUUACAAGUUGUUUGGCAAGUUCUUCGGGAGGCAUGAUGUAAAGUCCAACAAACUCAGCAUUCACCCAACUGGUGCCAUCUUCAUGAUCCAAUCUGUGCCUCUUCAGGAUCUUUUAUUUUAUCACGCCUUUUCAGGAUCUGGCAGGGAAGAUGGAGACCCUGUUGAGAAGGAUCAGAUGCUGAUAGGAGAAAUCAUUUAAAUUUGAUUCUGGGUGGCCACCAUUUCCAAAGAGACGUGCCAAAUCAAUAGAUGUACAGUAAGAAACUAUGGACAAUUAUGCACCUUCUAGCACAGCUUGUGGUUACACAGAAUCCGCUUUCAGGAAAAGCUUGUGAAAAAACAGAUUCUGCUUAUUCAGUUCAUUCUUGGAUUGUGCUUAUUCAUAAGCUGCUGCAUAAUCCUGCCGCUUAGCAUAGCCUCUGCUUAAUCUGAUAAGCCAAACAAGGCCUAGGUUAUCAGUGAUCACCCUUUUAAGCAUUAUUCAAUGGAUUCUCCCUCCUUGUCAUCUUAGAACUUGCCUACCAAUUUAUCCCACUGUUCCCUUGUUUGGGAAUUUGGGUAACAAUCAAGCAGCUUUGUUUGAUGAUUGUGACAGGACCUACACUAUAUACAUGAAAUUCUUUGCUCCCUGGAAAAUUAAAAACCCAGCAUCACAUUUUUAUAUGCGACAUCAUAACGAAAAAGAUAUAUGCAUUAUGUGUGCGAAAAAGGUCAUGAAAAAUAUAUAGCAUGUAGGUUCAAGACAGGAAACCCCUGUUGUAAUUAAACUUCCAAUACUUAAGCCAAGAUGGCGCAGAGAUCAAGCGGCAAGGCUGUAGUCAAACUGAACCCUGAGGUGAAGCUAGCAAAUUGCGACUGAGAAGAUCUGAGACAAGCUGAAAGAAAAUCAAUUUACCACUAAAUCAAGGUGACUGAGAAGAUAUGGGGCCAAACAUACAUCUGACAGCAAACCGAUUUACCACUAAAUCAAGGUGACCCCCUAUUUUGAAAUUUGAAAUUUCCAUGGUCAGGACAAAAUAGCUUAAACCACAGUUGUUGUAAAAGAACAUACCUAAUAGGUAACAUAUAACUAUUAUAACUGCAGGAAACUGAUGUGCCAGUACUGGUAGAAAAGGAAAUCGAUCCCAAUUAUUGUUGUUCCAUCAACAGUAAAGAAUUUGUGCUUUACUUGUUAAUAACAGAAAGAUGGAGGUUCCUAGUUGUGUUUUCAGUUGAGCACUUCCACAGCAAGAAUAGUUCAACGGUUAAUUAAAAAAAAUCAGAAUUGAUACACAUAGAAGCAAAAAGCAGUGCAAACUGAUACACAUAAAGUAAUCAAAGAAGUGUGAAUAAUAGCGUGUUUAUUUAUGAAACAAUGACUGAGUGGUGCACUCACUCCAUGCAUUAACAAUUUCAAUCCAUGUAUGUAAAUGAAUAUAGAAGUACAAGUUGACUUAAAUAGUUUAUGACAAACUGGUAGCAAUAAUGAUGUGCAAAGCUAAUUCAAUCACA
rnacentral:lncRNA from 1 species